GUGGGGAAUAUUGGACAAUGGGCGAAAGCCUGAUCCAGCAAUGCCGCGUGAGUGAUGAAGGCCUUAGGGUUGUAAAGCUCUUUUACCCGGGAUGAUAAUGACAGUACCGGGAGAAUAAGCUCCGGCUAACUCCGUGCCAGCAGCCGCGGUAAUACGGAGGGAGCUAGCGUUGUUCGGAAUUACUGGGCGUAAAGCGCACGUAGGCGGCUAUUCAAGUCAGGGGUGAAAUCCCGGGGCUCAACCUCGGAACUGCCUUUGAAACUGGAUGGCUAGAAUCCUGGAGAGGCGAGUGGAAUUCCGAGUGUAGAGGUGAAAUUCGUAGAUAUUCGGAAGAACACCAGUGGCGAAGGCGACUCGCUGGACAGGUAUUGACGCUGAGGUGCGAAAGCGUGGGGAGCAAACAGGAUUAGAUACCCUUGUAGUCC
rnacentral:rRNA from 1 species